rnacentral:rRNA from 1 species
UACGGAGGGGGCUAGCGUUGUUCGGAAUUACUGGGCGUAAAGCGCGCGUAGGCGGCUUAGCAAGUUAGAGGUGAAAGCCCGAAGCUCAACUUCGGAAUUGCCUUUAAAACUGCAAAGCUAGAAUCAUGGAGAGGUGAGUGGAAUUCCGAGUGUAGAGGUGAAAUUCGUAGAUAUUCGGAAGAACACCAGUGGCGAAGGCGACUCACAGGACAUGUAUUGACGCUGAGGUGCGAAAGCGUGGGGAGCAAACAGG